UACGUAGGGGGCAAGCGUUUGUCCGGAAUCAUUGGGCGUAAAGCGCGUGUAGGCGGCUUCGUAAGUCCGUUGUGAAAGUCCAGGGCUCAACCCUGGAAUGCCGAUGGAUACUGCGGAGCUAGAGUCCGGAAGAGGCGAGUGGAAUUCCUGGUGUAGCGGUGAAAUGCGUAGAUAUACGGAGGAACACCAGAGGCGAAGGCGGAUCGCUGGGCCAACACUGACGCUGAUGUGCGAAAGCUAGGGGAGCAAACGGG
rnacentral:rRNA from 1 species